AGCUCCAAUAGCGUAUAUUAAAGUUGUUGCGGUAAAAAGCUCGUAGUUGGAUUUCUGUGAAGAGCGACCGGUCCAUACCACGUAUGCGUAUCUGGCUUGCUUUUUGCAUCCUCUCGAUAGACGUUGCUGCGCUUGAUUGCGUGGCGCGGAUCUCGGGACUUUUACUUUGAGGAAAUUAGAGUGUUCACGGCAGGCUUUCGCCAGAAUACAUUAGCAUGGAAUAAUACUAUAGGAUCUUGGUUCUAUUUUGUUGGUUUCUAGAAUUGAGAUAAUGAUUAAUAGGGACAAUUGGGGGCAUUCGUAUCAACACGUCAGAGGUGGAAUUCUUGGAUUGUGUUGCGACGAACUACUGCGAAAGCAUUUGCCAAGGAUGUUUUCA
rnacentral:rRNA from 1 species